GAUGAACGCUGGCGGCGUGCCUAACACAUGCAAGUCGAGCGAUUCUYUUCGGAGAAGAGCGGCGGACGGGUGAGUAACGCGUGGGUAACCUGCCCUGUACACACGGAUAACAUACCGAAAGGUAUGCUAAUACGAGAUGAUAUAUAAAAGUUGCAUGACUUUUAUAUCAAAGCUUUUGCGGUACAGGAUGGACCCGCGUCUGAUUAGCUAGUUGGUAAGGUAACGGCUUACCAAGGCGACGAUCAGUAGCCGACCUGAGAGGGUGAUCGGCCACACUGGAACUGAGACACGGUCCAGACUCCUACGGGAGGCAGCAGUGGGGAAUAUUGCACAAUGGGCGAAAGCCUGAUGCAGCAACGCCGCGUGAGCGAUGAAGGCCUUCGGGUCGUAAAGCUCUGUCCUCAAGGAAGAUAAUGACGGUACUGAGAGAGCCCG
rnacentral:rRNA from 1 species